GGUCUGCUGCGGCUCGCGUCGAAGGCCAAAUUCCCGGGGACCUUAAUUCACCUCUAAGGGAGCUGUCCCUGGCCGGGUCCGUGGACCCGGACACACGGCGCCCACCUGUCUACAGCAGGUCCGAGGGGAAUUUAACCACCUUCACGGCUCUCGCGGCGCCGC
rnacentral:other from 1 species